AGUGAACGCUGGCGGCAGGCCUAACACAUGCAAGUCGAGCGGCAGCGCGGGGGCAACCCUGGCGGCGAGCGGCGGACGGGUGAGGAAUUCGUCGGAAUCUGCCUUUUUGUGGGGGAUAACGUAGGGAAACUUACGCUAAUACCGCAUACGUCCUACGGGAGAAAGUGGGGGACCGCAAGGCCUCACGCAGAAAGAUGAGCCGACGACCGAUUAGCUAGUUGGUGGGGUAAAGGCCCACCAAGGCGACGAUCGGUAGCUGGUCUGAGAGGAUGAUCAGCCACACUGGGACUGAGACACGGCCCAGACUCCUACGGGAGGCAGCAGUGGGGAAUAUUGGACAAUGGGCGCAAGCCUGAUCCAGCCAUGCCGCGUGUGUGAAGAAGGCCUUCGGGUUGUAAAGCACUUUUGUCCGGAAAGAAAUCCCUGGAGCUAAUACCUUCGGGGGAUGACGGUACCGGAAGAAUAGCACCGGCUAACUUCGUG
rnacentral:rRNA from 1 species